CCGAAGGGCCCAGGGGAAAACAUUUAAAAUCCGUUAGAGUGAGUGGACGAAAAAUAAGUAAUUUCAAAUGAAUAAGUAAAACUUAAUGCUUUCCCAAGUUAUUCUCUAAAACCUCGCAUGCAGUAACAAUCUUGAAAACACUCUUAAUCAUCCUCUUUACUGAAAUCUCAAUCACGUAACAAGAACAUCUUGAAACCUCUUAAAAUCUCAUCCUCAAUCCUUAUAAAAACAUCCUUUUCAUGAGGCUCGUUUGAUGACUAGAAAGGACUGCUGUCUAGUCAUCUCAUGCCAUCUAGGAGGGACUGCCACCCAGAUGACGCAUCGGAAGGGACUGCCAACCGGGAUAGGAGGCGGUGGAUAGAUGGGACUGCCAACUAGCCACAUGUAGUAGACGGGACUGCCGACUAACCACAGGUAGUAGACGGGACUGCCGACUAGCUACCUCAUGUCAUCUGGAAGGGACUGCCAACCAGGUGACG
rnacentral:lncRNA from 1 species